ensembl:snRNA U6 U6 spliceosomal RNA
GUGCUCACUUCAGCAGCAUAUAUACUAAAAUUGGAACGAUACAGAGAAGAUUAGCAUGGCCCCUGCGCAAGGAUGACAUAUACAUUUGUGAAGCAUUCUGUAUUUUU